UUACACAUGCAAGUCGAACGGUAACAAGGUCUUCGGGAUGCUGACGAGUGGCGAACGGGUGAGUAAUACAUCGGAACGUGCCUAGUAGUGGGGGAUAACUACUCGAAAGAGUGGCUAAUACCGCAUGAGAUCUAUGGAUGAAAGCAGGGGGACCUUCGGGCCUUGUGCUACUAGAGCGGCCGAUGGCAGAUUAGGUAGUUGGUGGGAUAAAAGCUUACCAAGCCUACGAUCUGUAGCUGGUCUGAGAGGACGAUCAGCCACACUGGGACUGAGACACGGCCCAGACUCCUACGGGAGGCAGCAGUGGGGAAUUUUGGACAAUGGGCGCAAGCCUGAUCCAGCAAUGCCGCGUGCAGGAUGAAGGCCUUCGGGUUGUAAACUGCUUUUGUACGGAACGAAAAGUCUUGGGUUAAUAACCCUGGGAUCAUGACGGUACCGUAAGAAUAAGCACCGGCUAACUACGUGCCAGCAGCCGCGGUAAUACGUAGGGUGCAAGCGUUUAAUCGGAAUUACUG
rnacentral:rRNA from 1 species